rnacentral:rRNA from 1 species
CCUACGGGAGGCUGCAGUGGGGAAUAUUGGACAAUGGGGGCAACCCUGAUCCAGCCAUGCCGCGUGUGUGAAGAAGGCCCUCGGGUUGUAAAGCACUUUCAGUGAGGAAGAACGCCUGGUGGUUAAUACCCAUCAGGAAAGACAUCACUCACAGAAGAAGCACCGGCUAACUCCGUGCCAGCAGCCGCGGUAAUACGGAGGGUGCGAGCGUUAAUCGGAAUUACUGGGCGUAAAGCGCGCGUAGGUGGCUUGAUAAGCCGGUUGUGAAAGCCCCGGGCUCAACCUGGGAACGGCAUCCGGAACUGUCAAGCUAGAGUGCAGGCGAGGAAGGUAGAAUUCCCGGUGUAGCGGUGAAAUGCGUAGAGAUCGGGAGGAAUACCAGUGGCGAAGGCGGCCUUCUGGACUGACACUGACACUGAGGUGCGAAAGCGUGGGUAGCAAACAGGAUUAGAUACCCCAGUAGUC